GACGAACCGUGCAACCGUUGUUCGGAUUCACUGGGCUUAAAGGGUGCGUAGGCGGACGGUCAAGUCAGGGGUGAAAUCCUCCCGCUUAACGGGAGAAGUGCCUUUGAUACUGGCCGUCUCGAGGGAGGUAGGGGCAUGUGGAACUUCCGGUGGAGCGGUGAAAUGCGUAGAUAUCGGAAGGAACGCCGGUGGCGAAAGCGACGUGCUGGAUCUCUUCUGACGCUGAGGCACGAAAGCCAGGGUAGCGAACGGG
rnacentral:rRNA from 1 species